GGGGCUAUAGCUCAACUGGGAGAGCGCUGCCCUUGCACGGCAGAGGUUACCGGUUCAAACCCGGUUAGCUCCACGA
rnacentral:tRNA from 2 species